UACGGGAGGCAGCAGUGGGGAAUAUUGCACAAUGGGCGAAAGCCUGAUGCAGCUAUGCCGCGUGUAUGAAGAAGGCCUUAGGGUUGUAAAGUACUUUCAUCGGGGAGGAAAAACAAAACUAAUAAUUUUAUUUCUUGACGUUACCCGAAAAAGAAGCACCGGCUAACUCCGUGCCAGCAGCCGCGGUAAUACGGAGGGUGCUAGCGUUAAUCAGAAUUACUGGGCGUAAAGAGCACGUAGGUGGUUUUUUUAAGUCAGAUGUGAAAUUCCUGGGCUUAACCUAGGAACUGCAUUUUGAAACUGAAAUACUAGAGUAUCGUAGAGGGAGGUAGAAUUCUAGGUGUAGCGGUGAAAUGCGUAGAUAUCUGGAGGAAUACCUGUGGCGAAAGCGGCCUCCUAAACGAAUACUGACACUGAGGUGCGAAAGCGUGGGGAGCAAACAGGGAUUAGAUACC
rnacentral:rRNA from 1 species